UGUGGCUGAAGCAUGAUGCCCAUGGAGAAGUGUGAAACGAGGCUGGAGAAACAGAAAGGUAAACUCAUAGAUUUAGAUCUGGAAGAGACCUUAGUGAACUUUUAGGGAGUCAUUGAGUAGCAAAGAACCUUGAGUGCCAUGAUAAUGAAUAUCACUGGAAAGGCAAUGAAAGGGCUCUGGGGGAAAAAUUGGGUAAAAUAGCCAGAUCUUCAAGUAAGGAAAACUGAUCUGGUUGCAAUAUGGAAGCUGGAGAAGAGGCUGAGAAACCAUCUAGAAGAUGACUGAAAGAGUGGAAACUAGGGUUUUGCAUGGUGGUAUUGUGACUAUAAGCAAAGGAACAGAUUCUUCAGUCAUCAUUUUAAACUCCUGUUCUUCCAGGUCUCUUGUUUUUGUUUUUAAAUUUUUUUUCAAUUGUGAGGCAUUUGUUUUCUUCUUUCCUCUUGCCUCCUCCAUCCCUCCACUGAAAGAAAAUAAACAAAACAAAACCCUUAUAAUAAAUAUUCUUAGUUUAUCAGGGAAAAUUCCUAUAUUGGUCAAGUCCAAAUGUAUGUUUUUAUUCUGCAUGAUAGGUCCAUAACUUAUCUCCUGAUUUCUUUAUUUUCAUUAUGGGCCUUCUGCUGUAAUAUGUUAGCUAUUGUUAUUAUUCUAGCCUUCCAAAUAUGUGCCUCAGAUUGUUCUUUUGUGAUUAUUUUUUUUCCCUUUUGCAAAAAAUAUUUGGUGGGAUGGGUUUGGGGGAUUAUAGAUUGUUGGAAGAAGGGGAAGAGGAAGUUGUUUCUUAAAGCCCCUGACUAUGGUAUUUCUAAUGGAUUAUGCUAUAUAACACUCUCAGUUACCCCUGCUAAGGCCCUUUCUGUCAGUUCUUUCUGUAAUAUUGCAUACUUCCCUCUAGAUAAAGUAAGUUAGGGAACUAGCCUUUUGCUUUAGCUGUUAUUUAUGCAAUGGAAGUUGGCAGAAUAGGACAAUGGAACAGAGGAGUGGCUAUGCAUUUAAUUCUUAUUUUCUCUCUCAUCAAGAAAGGGGAGAGAAGCCCAGACGAGUAAUUUGGGGAGAGGCCUCUCCCUAGGCAUUUACAAGUCUGGUAUUUCUGGUGGAAACUGAAUUUUAAGGCAGACUAUUGGUGAUAAGCUGGAGAAAUAAGUAAAAGGAAUAAGAGAGUGGUCUGUGAAUGGAAACUUUGUUCUCCUAGAUUCUCUGAUACUGUGUGUGUGUUUUAGUAAAUAAUUACUAAUCAGUCCCAAAGAGAUACUAAAGAAGGGAAAGAGACCUGUGCCAAAAUGUUUGUGGCAGCCCUGUUUGUAGUGGCUAGAAACUGGAAAAUGAAUGGAUGCCCAUCAAUUGGAGAAUGGUUGGGUAAAUUGUGGUAUAUGAAUGUUGUGGAAUGUUAUUGUUCUGUAAGAAAUGACCAGCAGGAUGAAUACAGAGAGGCUUGGAGAGACUUACAUGAACUGAUGCUAAGUGAAAUGAGCAGAACCAGGAGAUCAUUAUACACUUCAACAACGAUACUGUUUGAGGAAGUAUUCUGAUGGAAGUGGAUUUCUUCAACAAAGAGAAGAUCUAACUCAGUUUCAGUUGAUCGAUGAUGGACAGAAGCAGCUACACCCAAAGAAAGAACAUUGGGAAAUGAAUGUAAACUGUUUGCAUUUUUGUUUUUCUUCCCGGGUUAUCUUUACCUUCUGAAUCCAAUUCUUCCUGUGCAAUAAGAGAACUGUUUGGUUCUGCACACAUAUAUUGUAUCUAGGAUAUACUGUGACAUAUUUAACAUGUAUAGGACUGCUUGCCAUCUGGGGGAGGGGAAAAAUCGGAACAGAAGUGGGAGUGCAAGCUUCAUGGAAAAAUAUGUAGUCAUAACACACUAUAAAGUGUAAAAACAUUAUUAAUAAUUUCUCCAUCACUUUAUUAAGAUCAGGCAAGCCACAAAACAAUAAAUUAAGCCUUGAUUUUGUAAUUUUUUGGGUCAGUUUCCAAGGCAUAAAUGCUUGCACUAAAAAUUUAACAACUGGAACUCCUCCACAUGUGAUAAAUGUAGCAGCUUUUUGUGGUAGCAAAGAAGUGGAAAUUGAAUAGAUGCCCAUCAGUUGGGAAAUGGCUGAACAAGCUAUGGUAUUUAAAGGUAACAGAAUAUUAAUGUUCUAAAAAAAGUGUUGAACAAACUGAUUUUAGAAAGGCCUGGACAGAUUUAUAAGAACUGAUGCUGAGCAAAACAAGCAGAACCAGGAUACAUUGUACACGGGAACAGUAAGAAUGUGCUGCUCAAUGAUUCAGUGAUCCAAAGCAAUCCCAAUAGACUUUGGACAGAAGAUGCCGUCUGUAUCCAGAAAAGAAAAAAAAAAAAAAAAAAAAAAAAAACUAAGGAGACUGACUGUAAAUCAAUAUAUUCACUUUUUUAAAAAAUCUCUUCCAUGGUUUUUCCCUUUUGUUCUGAUUUUUCUCUCCCUAAUAUGAUUCAGAGCAAUGUGUAUUAAAACAAAUAAAUUUACAAAAAGUUAAAAAAAACACCAAAUAAUUGGCAUUCCUGGCUAGUUAGAGCUAGCUCUAGUAUACACAUAUAUGUCUAUAUAUGUAUAAAUAUAUUCAUAUAAGUAUAUAUUUAUGGAAAUAUAUGUAUAUAUACUUAUAUGUGCAUAUAUCACAUUAUAUACACACAUGUUGUGAACUUGCAUAUACAGAUAAGUGUGUGCACGUAUUUCUAGCAGUCUUCAAAACUAUCACUGGGGAAAUAAAUCCUAUGAAGGGGCCAGCCAUCCUCACUCCUACUAACCUAUCUCCAUGCACAGGACAAGGCAGAUAUCCUGAGGGAGAGACAAGAGGCAGCCUCAAUCCACUCAAGUCAAAUAACCAUCAUCAUUAUUUCCUCUCUAACUUUGAUGGAAACAAUCUGGAACCUUGAUGCCCCUUUUGUCCCCCCAAAAUAAUACCAGCUUUCUUUCAGUCCAGCCCCCACAACCAUUAAUGAGGGGAGAAAUCAUUAUAGAAAUUAUGAGGAAGGCUCACUUUGUUCCUCACCACUGGCAAUAACUGCUGACCAACUGCCAUCACCAGCCAUUUAAGUACAGGAGUCUUGAGAAAAGUUGAUGCAUUUCCUGGACUACCAUGAGUCCUUCCUUUCAACCCAACUCUCACAGCCAUGCUCCAGGGAAACAAACCCAGUGAAAAAGGGAACUGGUCAUUUUCACCAACUGCCAUCCAAAGCAGCAAGGCACCCAGAGGGAGAGACAGCCUGGCCAGGGCCAUGUAUCUUCAUGGGAAACAGCCGUUAUGGGGAUGCAGCUUGGAGACUUGUCCAUCAGAUGCCACGGCCACAGUUCUUGAAGACCAGAAAAGAAAGUUCUUGCCACCCAGGCUUUGCCAUCAGCAGAUACUUCACCAUCAGAAGCCAAUGUGAUUUUUUCAUUAAAAGUGCAGUGAAACAAGAGGCUUUUGUCUACAUGACUGCUGCAUACUAAGGGUCUUCCUCUUUUAACAGUUCAUGGGCAUGCUUUGUCUCCUCAAUUAGAAUGUGAGCUGCUUACUUUGUGUCCCCAGUGCUUUGUCCUCAGUCCCCAAGUAUCAAGCACAUAGUAAGUGUUUAGUAAAUGCUUCAUUUAUUUAAAGUACUAGUUUCCCAUGUGAGCUUGGGCAAGUAACGUUCCCACAGGCCUCAUCUAAAAUGAGAGUGAAUCAUAGAACCUCUAAGAUCCCCCCUAAUCCUGCUUCUACAGUGACCCUCGGUAGCAGAAGAGCUGCAUAACCCACAUGUAAGGAAAGUCUGCAUGUGAAUACUGGCCCUCUGAGCUCCUUUGCUGCCUCCCUGUCACCUGACCUGCCAUUUUUCUGGUCUCUCUUUGAAUUUCUGUAGUGCUCCUGCCCUCUUUAUAACACAUAAUUCAACCUCUGAUCAUGUCUUUGUUCUCUAAUUGCUACUUAUUGUGUGCCCUCUCUGUGUGGCCUGUUAAGUUAUGUGGAAAUUCACUUUACAAAUCUGGAGUUCAUCUUCCUUAUUUUGUUGCUAUAAUGUAUAUAUAGCUUUAAGGUCAGCAAAAAGCCUUACAAAUAUCACCUCAUUAGAUUCUCACAACAACCCUGGGAAGUAGGUGAUUAUAUCCCAUUUUACAGAUGAGGGAACAGGCAGAAAGUAAGUGUCUGAAGCUGGAUUUGAACUCAGACCUUCCUGAUUCCAGGUCUAAUGAUGUCAUCACUGCACCCACCUAGAUACCUUUAUACUUUUUCCAAGAGAUAUGUUAAGAGAUCAAAUGAGCUAAUAACAAAUAGAUCUAAUAGAUUUAAUAAUAAAAGUAAAAUGAUAAAAAACUUUUUGCCUUUAAAUAAUUUCCAAGGUAAUUGUAAUUAUUAUGGCUUUUAUUAUUGACAACAAUAAUAAAAAUUAUAAGCACUAUUGUGUACUCCAGAAGUCCUCUACAUAAAUUUCAUGACAGACUGGAUAAAGAGAAUUAAGGGAGAGUCCAGCUAGUGCAAUAUAAGCCCAUCACUGUUUUUGGAGAAAAAACUCUCAAAGCCAUGUUCUUUUGACUAUCCGUAACCCUUUGUUUCCUCAGAUGUAAAAUGAGGGAGAGAAGAGGGUAGGGAAGGGAACAAGCAUUUAUGUAGCACCUACUGCAUGCCAGGAAUGUGCUAAAUGCUUUAAAAAUAUCUCAUUUAAUCAAAUAAAGUCAUUUAAAUCAUUUAAGCAAAAAUCAAACAAAUAUUUAAAUUAAUGGGGAUAAUAGUUGUAGUGCCUACUGCAAGUGGUUUUUAUGAGGCUCAAAUGAAUAUAUGUAGUAGGGGACCCAUACCAUUUUGGAACCUCUAUCUCAGAUGUGUUAUGGGAUGUGUCAAGUAAUCAAAAUGAACCACUUUAAUGAAUCACACACCUAGGCCAGCAUCUAAGGCAUCAUCUACCAAUAAACCAAGCAGAAACAUAAAUCAAAUAGCAAAGCAUUUAAUUAAGACAGAAGAGCAAAGUAAAUAACAAGGGAAAAUCAAGUCAUUGAAUCACUCUCAGACUCCCCAUACAUGAAGGGGUAUACUUUCUCACAGACUGCCACCCUGUUGGGAGAGGACCUACUCCCCAGAUGAUUAACACCCCUAAUGUUCUAGAAUACUUGUCAUGAUUCUACCUUGCAAGAACAGGUUGUGCCUUACUACUACAAUUUCGAUUAUUUCUAAAAUCAGAGCUAUCCAAAAGUGACUGGGCUGCCUCUGGAGAUCCUGGAUCCCUCACCGUAGUCUUCAAGCAGUGGGUAGAUAACCAUUUGUGGGUUAUAUUGUCGAGGGGAUUUUUUUUUUCCAGAAAAGGCUUUAUCUAGAUGGCCUCUAAGGUCUCUUCCCACUCAGAAUCUGUGAGUUUAUGAAGGCAAAGAUUUAUCUGG